UCAAAUCAGGUCACCACACGAGACUCGCUCAUAAGACCACACUAUCUACGACCCAUAGGCCACUGAAUACCCUCUCAAACGCUUCCCAGAAGCACCACAUUCUAGAAUGCUUUACCUUGUAUAAUUUCCUGCGGUUCUGAAUUCAUUUACCAUUACCUUCCAAAUGCGGAUAUGUAGAAUCCUAUGAUUAACACAAAGUACCACAAAUCUUGACCUUUUCUAAUGAAACACCGUCACUUGCCACAUACACAAACUUAAGACACCUGAUUGUUACAUGCAAAAUCUUGGACACAAUAAAACCAAUCUCGAGAGUCAUUCACUCUUAAACAACUAAAAUUUACCUGCCUUAACGGACAUAACCACUUUUGCUUUAUUAGUACUCUGACACCGCAGAACAUGAUCUCAUACAUAUAUAAACAACCAUCUUUCUUCCCUAUACACUGAGCAUUCUUUAUCAACAACAGUUCAAAACAUCCUAAAAUCUCUCACAUUUACAAAAGCACCAUUUAACCUUUGUAGAGAUUUUCCUUCACAUGAGCCAUCCCAGGAUCAAUUUCUGUAACCAGAAAUGUUCCGCCAUCAUACCUCGAAACGGAACCAACAUAGCUCAUAACCAUGCAAUCAGCUGACCAACAGCACCCUCCCCAACUUGGCUCAAAGCCACAGAUUAAGGUAUUCUUAACAACUCAUAACACUGUUACUCUAAUGAAGCACAAUGAGAUCAACUCAAAUCAUUUACAAGUUUUGUGAAUACACAGAUCAUCUAGCACUGACAUUCUCUGCAAACCUCGCAUUCAUUUCCACAUCAGCUGAGCCCACUUUCUUAAGUGUCCCAAUACUUCAAAAUACGACACAUACCCUUCAAUUACACAUGAGAUAUUUUACCCACACAUAAGGAUCAUACCGCUCGAAAUCCUCCGCAGGAGAUAUCCCCCCCUGCUUUGCCUCAAUUCAAUGUUUCCAUAUACCUUCCACUAUCAUAU
rnacentral:lncRNA from 1 species